ACGUAGGGUGCAAGCGUUGUCCGGAAUUACUGGGUGUAAAGGGAGCGCAGGCGGACCGGCAAGUUGGAAGUGAAAACCACGGGCUCAACCCGUGAAUUGCUUUCAAAACUGCUGGCCUUGAGUAGUGCAGAGGUAGGUGGAAUUCCCGGUGUAGCGGUGGAAUGCGUAGAUAUCGGGAGGAACACCAGUGGCGAAGGCGACCUACUGGGCACCAACUGACGCUGAGGCUCGAAAGCAUGGGUAGCAAACAG
rnacentral:rRNA from 1 species